ensembl:lncRNA
CCUGGUGGCUGGAUCUGAGUUGUCAAGAUAGAAUGUCACCAUCCGGAGAGACAAGAGGGCUCCAAAAGCCCUGGAACAGUCCUGAUUCUUGUCAGACUGUGGAAAAAGAGCAUAAAUAGGGAAACGAGGAUUGCCUGUAUUCAUUUGCUGUCAGAGCUGCCUUUGAACUUCAGGAAAGCCACCAUCUUGUUUUGUUCACUUCGCUAAAGCUUAGUGUCUGCCACAUGAAACACCAGGUCUUCAGAAGCAGGGAUGUGUUUUCCUUUCACUUCAAUGGACCUUUCGACAGCUUCUGAGUUUUCUAUUCCUUCUCACUUAAAGGCUGGAUUACAGUCGACCUGAUCAGGGAGUUUUAUGCCUAUGUAAUCAGUGCAGACAGCCGUUAAGUAAAUGAAGAGGCAACUAACAAUGUCAGAAAAGAGCCCGGGCGGUUCCGGCUGACACUACCCUAAUCUUCCAGGACCCAUUAAAUGGCAGUUUCAACGCAUUACCUACCAUAACAUCCUUGAAUAUCACUGAUUUUAUUUGCAGUAUCAAACAUUCCAUUUCAUGCC